rnacentral:rRNA from 1 species
CCGUCGUACGGGUGCGUAACGCGUAUGCAACCUACCUUCAACCGGGGGAUAGCCCGGGGAAACCCGGAUUAAUACCGCAUAAUACAUUUGGCUCACAUGGGCUGAUUUGUUAAAGAUUUAUUGGUUGAAGAUGGGCAUGCGUUCGAUUAGCUAGUUGGCAGGGUAACGGCCUACCAAGGCAACGAUCGAUAGGGGAGCUGAGAGGUUGAUCCCCCACACGGGCACUGAGAUACGGGCCCG